UUCAAAUGGUGUCUCUGUUAUCUCCAUUGUCUCCGUAUCAACUUCUGGUUCCUCCACAGACUGCAAAAUCUGAGGAAGAGCAGAAGAUCUGACGGGGGACGGACGAUGGAAGCUACGAGGAAAUGGACUUUGGAGACUGCAAAAUCUGAGGAAGAGCAGAAGAUCUGACGGGGGACGGACGAUGGAAGCUACGAGGAAAUGGACACUUAAGAUCGUGUGACCUUGGGGAGAGCAAAAGUCCUGUCAAGGCCAGGAGGAAACGGGCCAUCAGCAGAUGGACUCUGGAGGUCUUUUGGAGCUGUGUCUAAUGUUACCACUGGUCUAUCUAAAGGCAACACUUCGACAUUUGUCUCC